UACGAAGGGGGCUAGCGUUGCUCGGAAUCACUGGGCGUAAAGCGCACGUAGGUGGAUCGCUAAGUCAGGGGUGAAAUUCUGGAGCUCAACUCCAGAACUGCCUUUGAUACUGGCAAUCUCGAGUCCGGGAGAGGUGAGUGGAACUGCGAGUGUAGAGGUGAAAUUCGUAGAUAUUCGCAAGAACACCAGUGGCGAAGGCGGCUCACUGGCCCGGUACUGACGCUGAGGUGCGAAAGCGUGGGGAGCAAACAGG
rnacentral:rRNA from 1 species